CUACGGGCGGCAGCAGUGGGGAAUAUUGGACAAUGGGGGAAACCCUGAUCCAGCAAUGCCGCGUGUGUGAAGAAGGCCUGCGGGUUGUAAAGCACUUUCGGUUGGGAGGACUGCUUCUAGCACUAAUAUUGUUGGAAGUUGACGUUACCUUCAGAAGAAGCACCGGCUAGCUCCGUGCCAGCAGCCGCGGUAAUACGGAGGGUGCAAGCGUUAAUCGGAAUUACUGGGCGUAAAGCGCGCGUAGGCGGCUAGAUCAGUCGGGUGUGAAAGCCCCGGGCUUAACCUGGGAACUGCAUCCGAUAAUGUCUAGCUUGAGUACAGGAGAGGAGAGUGGAAUUCCACAUGUAGCGGUGAAAUGCGUAGAUAUGUGGAGGAACACCAAUGGCGAAGGCAGCUCUCUGGCCUGAUACUGACGCUGAGGUGCGAAAGCGUGUGGAGCAAACAGGAUUAGAUACCCCGGUAGUC
rnacentral:rRNA from 1 species